rnacentral:rRNA from 1 species
CGUGUAGGCGGCCUUGCAAGUCGGGUGUGAAAGCCCUCAGCUCAACUGAGGAAGUGCGCCUGAAACUGCAGGGCUUGAGUACCGGAGAGGAUGGCGGAAUUCCCCAAGUAGAGGUGAAAUUCGUAGAUAUGGGGAGGAACACCGGUGGCGAAGGCGGCCAUCUGGACGGAUACUGACGCUGAGACGCGAAAGCGUGGGUAGCAAACA